CUUAACCCCAGAAAAGAUUUUUAGCCCUUAAUGGAAAUAUUCAUCAUCUAAUCCCUUGGAUUGGUGAUACAAACAUGAAAGAAAUUAAAGUUAAUAUAAUAAAACCCUAAAAAAAAAGUUUUGGUAGCCUGCUUAAUCCUCCAAGACGUCUAAAAGUAAGUAAAAAUAACGUGAAUAAUGUCCUAUUUAUAGUAGAAGAAGUAGCCCAUGCCUUGUUGAACAAGGAAAUAGUUUCUGUUCGUCUGCGAACCCAGUGACGUGCCACAUUGAUUAUCACAUUGUAGGCCAUCGUGUUGUGCCUAAAUUGAGUUGUUUCACUGUUUUGGGUGCCUUCAAAAUCCAUUUUUGUAUAUUACGCUCCCAUACUCCUUUACAUGCGCCAACACUCACCCAAUACUUUUCAGGUGUCCAAAUUGGCAUCAAGCUAUGUUUUGUGUUUCCAUGAUCCAUUCCAAGCCUUUUUGAGUUGUUUACACUUGAUUUGAAGAUUGUAAAUCCUUAAUAUAUCAUCAUAGUCCAUUCACCAAGCAUCUUUAACAUUAAAAAAACAAUUUAGAGCUCAAAAAAAAUACAACAUCCUCAACGGUAAACUAGAAACACGAGCUAAGCAUAGGCUAAAUUCACAUUGAGCUUUAACUUGUUUUUUUUUUACUCUUUUCUUGAUUCAAUUAACCCUUGAACAUUAUAAAUACGUUUUUCAUAUAUAAAUACAUCAUAAAAACCUUAGUAACUUAUUAAAACACAUUAUAACCCCACAAAAUAGACUAGAAAAACACCUAGCUCAAGCUAGUUACACUAGUUUUCUCGAUUGAACUCUAAAUGGUCAUAUUGAAUCAAAACUCAUGUGAAACCACCAUUAAACAUUGUAAGCACAUACUUGAACACAUAAAUUCUCAUUUAUUUCAUUCUCAACCUAUUAAUCACAUGAAUCAUCCUCAAAACAAGGCUAAAAAGGCUAGAAUAGUAGCACUAGAAUGCAUAAAUACACCCAACAUCACCGUCUUGAAGGAAAUUUGUCCUCAAAUUCAGUUCAUUGUUGUCCUCUACUAUUUCCACUUGAGAGAGGUCACACACGUUAAAAUUUUUGUGCACUUGAUAUUCUAGGGGUAGAUCAAUUUUGUAGAUGCUGUUGUUGAUCCUUUCUAGCACUUGGAAUGGACCAUCAACCCACGACAUUAACUUAACAUUCCUUUGAGACAGAAACUGAUCCUUCCUAAGGUGCACCUACACCCAAUCUCCCAGUUCAAGAAUGAGCUUUUUUCUUCCCUUGUUGGCUCUUCUUGCAACUUCUUGGUUUUUUUUCUCCAACCGUAACCUCACUUUCCCAUAUAGCUUCUUCAUGGACUCGCCCUGUUUUCUUCCAUCUAACCUUAUCAUAAGAUCACUUGACAAAGGGGUUAAAUCGAAAGAGGUAUGGGGAUUGAGGCUGCAUACACACUUAAAAGGUGUCAUCCCCGUACUUAAAUGUAUGAAAAAAUUGUAAGAAAACUCAAUCAACAGUUAGUGCUCCUCCCAAGAAGUCAUUUUUCCUUUAACGAUGGAUCGUAGCAUAGAAUCUAAGGUCCUAUUUACUACUUCCAUUUGUCUAUCAAUUUGUGGGUAGAGUGAAGUCGAAAACAACAAUUUGGUACCUAGCGUACCCCACAUGGACUUCCAAAAGUGGCUUAGAAAUUUAGAAUCUCUAUCACUCACUAUGGUCCUCAGAACACCAUGAAGUUUCACAACAUUCUCAACAAAUAAAGAGGCUACACUAGGUGCAUCAUCACAUUUAGAACAAGGAAUAAAGUAAGCCAUCUUGGAAAACUGAUCCACCACGAUAAAAAUACUAUCUCACUCCCGCCUAUUCCUCGGUAAUACUAACAUGAAGUCCAUUAAUAUGUCAAGCCAAGGACGUAAGGGGGUGGAUAGUGGGGUGUACAACCUGUGGGGUUGUAGCUGAAACUUGGCUAUUUUACACUCAACACAUUGGCCGCAAAUUCGAGUCAUAUCCUUGUGCAUUUUAGGCUAAUAAAAUUGUUUUUCCAAGAUUCUAAGAGUCUUCUUGAUCCCAAAAUGGACCAUUAGACCGCCAUUCUGUUCUUUUCUAAAAAACAAUUCUCUCCAUAAACUUGAGGGAACACACAAUCGUCUACCCUUAAAUAAGUAUCCAUCAAAUUUGGUAUACGGACUGGAACCUUUAUCUGCCACCCCUUGUUACCUACCCAAGUCUUUACAUUCCCUAUAUAUAGGAGUGAAGUAAAGGUCCUCGGGAUAUAACGACUUGACACUCUCAAAACCCAUCAAUUUAUAUGAUAAAGUGGACACAAGAACAUGUUUUCAAGACAAGGCAUCGUCCACCACAUUGUCUUUACCGUUCUUGUAAUGAAUAACAUAAGGGAAAGUUUUAAUAAAUUCAAUCCAUUUUCAUACAGUCAGUUAAGAUUGUCUUAUGCUCAUAGAUUCUUCAAGGAUUCAUGAUCCGUUCGGAUCACAAAUUUUUUUGGCCACAAAUAAUGUUUCCAAGUGGCCAAGGCUCUAAUCAAGGCAUACAACUCUAAAUUAUAUGUAGAGUAGUUUAGAGCUGCUCCUUUGAGCUUUUCGCUAAAGUAGGAAAUAGGCUUCAAUUCUUGCAUUAAAAUUGCGCCUAUGCUAACUUUUCUAGCACCAUAUUCAACCUUAAAAGUCUUUUCAAAAUUUGGCAAUUGUAGCAAAGGGGAUGAGAUGAGCAUAGCUUUCAAGUCCUCGAAGGCCUAGCUUGUUCAUCUUCCCACUUGAAAGGUCAAUCCUUUUUAAUCACUUCAGUCAAGGAGGCGGUAGUGGUGCUAAAUCCUUUUACAAAACAUCUAUAAAAACUAGACAGCCUGUGGAAGCUUCUCAGUACACCUAUGAUUUUGGGAGUUGCAAAUUUUUAAUAGGGUCAAUCUUAGAUCCAUCCACUUUGACCCCUCUUGAGCUUACCAUAAACCCGAGAAACACAACCUCAUGGAUACCUAAAUAACAUUUUUCUAGAUUAGCAUAUAACUUAUCCUUUUGGAGGACAUCAAGCACAUAUUGUAAAUGUUUUACAUGCUCAUCUAAGGACCUGCUAUAUACCAACACAUCAUGAAUGUAUACAACAACAAACUUUCUGAUAAAUGUCUUCAUCACAUGAUUCACUAGCCUUAUGAAAGUAAUUGGAGCGUUUGUUAGGAUGAAUGGCAUACCCAUACAUUCAUAGAGAUUGAAUUUGGUCUUGAAGGUAGUUUUCCAUUCAUUACCCAGUUGCAUAUGGAUUUGGUAAUAGCCACUCUUCAAAUUAAUCUUAGAAAACAAAUACGAACCACUCAAUUCAUUAAGAAAAUCAUCUAUCCUAGGAAUUAGGUGAUGAUAUUUUACCUUAAUUUUGUUGAUGGCUCGACAAUCUAUGCACAUACGCCAAGUCCCAUCUUUCUUGGGCACUAGUAGCUCUGGGACCGCACAAGGGCUCAUACUCUCCUUGAUAUACCCUUUGUUAAGGAGUUCCUCAACUUGGCAUUGCAACUUCUUAUUAUCCAUCGGGUUGCUCCUAAAGUCGAUUUGUUGGGAAAUUAUGACCCUAACACAAUCUAUUCAGUGCACAAUUUCUCAAAGUGAGGGCAAUCCUUGCGGAAAUUCUUUGGGAAGACAUCCUUGUAAUCCUAUAAAACAUGAGAAAUAAAAGGAGAAAUGGAAAUAUUAGUGGGUUAGUAUUAAAAUAAUAAGACAAGAGGAGCAUCCGAGUGUCCUAAUCAUGACCCAUAAAUAGUUCUUUCCUCCUAUACAUCAUCACCAUAAUACCUUGACCCUUAGAAUUUAGGGACUCCUCGGCUUCCCCUACCCCACUACUCUUGGGUUCCCCUCUUUUUUCUUACCCUCGGGUUCCUCUCUACUUCCCUCACUCUCAGCUUUCUUUUCCUUCUCUCUCAAUUCCAUUAUCUUUUGGUGUAAUUCAUCUACUUAGGAAGGCAAAAGUGGAUGACGUACGACCUUUUGGCCAUCCUUCUUAAGUGUAUACUGAUUGGACCUACCAUCAUGUUUGGUCGACCUAUCGUAUUGCCAAGGUCUUCCCAACAACAAGUGACAUGCUUGCAUUGGUAUCACAUCACAAAGUACCUCAUCGUGGUAUUCGACUACCUUGAAACGUAUCACACAUUGCCUCAUGACAUUUAAUUCACCGCAUUUAUUUAACUAUUACAACUUGUAAGGGCUAGUGUGAGGUGUAGUUGGCAAUUUUAAGAAGUUGACCAUUGCAACACUAACCACACACUUGCACAACCACCGCUAUCUAUCACUACAGUGCAUACACUUCCCUUCACUAGACAUUUAGUAUUGAAUAGAUUCUCCCAUUUUCUAGGAUCAUCUAUCGCCUUAAUAAUCAUAACAUUCCUCACUACAAAGUUUGGAACCACACACUCCCCUUCUUGUGAAUAAGCAUCCUCACAAUCAUCAUCGUCAUCAUGUGGCUCCCUCUCAGCUGUCUCUCUAUCUUAAGGCUUAGCCUCACUCACAUCACCAUCAAUACCAACUUCUUUACCAAGGAAAUAUAAUCUACCUUCGCUUAGGAUUACAUUGCGUUGGUUAGGGAAUUCAUUGGCUUUAUUCCCCUAACCUUGGCACUUGAAAUAAUGAAACCCUUUAGGAUUAGGAUACUUGUGAGAUUCUUUCCUCAAAGGGAUUUUUUGGACUAUUUUGGACUCGAGCAUCCUUGUAGUGGCAGGUUGGUCCUUGUUUUUGGGCCAACCCAAAUAUAUUUAAACCAUAUCCUUACCCCUCGGCCAACCCAAGGUUGAUUAACUUUUUACUUUGAACGACGACCUCUUUUUAAGUUCCCUUUCAAUCCCAUGAGCCUCUUGGAAAAUACCUUUGAGGGUAUCAAACUUGAGAAGUAUCAAAUGAGUGGAGAUCUCUUUGUUCAACCCAUACUUGAACUGAAUGAUGUCAUGACUAAUUUGUUCCCUAAGAUGAUCAAGUUUUAACAUUAGUUGUUGAAACUUAUCAUAAUAUGCCAUCAUACUUUGAUUCCCGUACCGCAAGUUGUACAACCUAGCAAAAAAAUCAUGUCGAUAAAUCUUAGGAAGGUACCAUUGUCUCAUUAGGUACCUCAACCAAAACCAAGGUGGUAUUUGUCCAUCAAUCAACUCAUUACCAAACCAUUUGACGUUUUCCCACCAUGUGUUAGUAUAGCCUUAAAUGUGAGCUAUGGCAUAACAACUCUUCUUCUCCUCCAAUAUAUCAUUCACUUGAAACACCUUGUCACAAGAUGAUUCCCAAGCUAAGUAGACCUCGGGGUCACUUUCACCUUUAAAUAUUAGUAGGCUCAACUUAAUGGUGUUGAUACCUACGUCUUUCUCCUAGUGUCGAUUUCCCCUCUCUCUAUACCCUCGGUAUUUUCUUGGGUCCACAUGACCCCAUCUUAUCUCUUUCUCCCUCAUGUAGGCAUUUUCAAAGGCUUCAUUUCCUUCACAAUUCUCUUCCAUAUUCCUCAAUAUGGACAGGAUGGUUUUGGAUAUUUGGAACUUGAUUUGGAGGAAUCGGAUUUUGUGGAGGUGGUGGUCUUUAGUUUAGUGGAGCUUGGAAGGGAGGGUGUGGAUUUUGUAUAUGUAUUAGACGUCCAAGUCCCUCUUGCAAAACUUGAGGAGUUUGGGAAUGUGUUUGUCUAUUGGAGUCACGGGUUAGAGGGAAAUGUGUGGUUUGACUAGCGGCAUUGUGGAGCUUGUAAAGGAUUUGACAUUUGGGGCCAUGUUUCAAGAGUAACUAUGGCGGAGGAUUUUCUAUCAUGUCCACUUGAAGAAAUGUUGAGGAUUAGAAGGUCGAGAGUAACUUUGACUCUUACUUAUUCUAACCUCCCACUAAUAGUCAUCUCUUCUCCCCUUAUGGAUCCAACCUCCGUACUCAACCAUUUAAGAGUUCGGGUCAUAGCUUCAAGAGUGACCCUCAUAGUUUCCAUAAUAGUAGAAUCCACGGUUUGAGACGUGGUUCCCUCCACUAUUAAGGUAUCACCUACACAAGAAACAAAUAAGUUAGUUUAAAAACCCUCUCCUCGCUCACACUCUCUCAGUUCACUCACACUCGAGCUCCACAAGUGUUGUAGAUUGGCAAGUAAACCGUGAAUCCUUAAGGUAUGAGUAUGCUUUUGUCCAGAGUAGAUUCUUAUUUGAAACUCAAGGGAUUCUCAUUGGAUUAGAGCCAAGAGUUACAACAUAUUCAAAUGAUAAAAGCACACAAACAAACAUUGACAGGAACACAAGGCUUCAAAUGACUAAUUGAUAAGCUAGUAGUAAUGUACUAGUUUGUUAAUUAGUUCUCAAGUCAAUUAGAGGAAACUAGGAAUAAAUAAUUAGAAACUAGAACAUCCAAAUUUGAGCUUAAUUAUCACAUGAACAGUAACUCAGGUUUCAUGGAAGCAUGUCAUUGGUCGCGGGUCCACAUAUGUUGUUCAUCAACUUGAAGUCUUAGUCCCUUUAUAUCAUUUGUAAUGGAUGACUUGUUAUUGGGAGGAAAAAACAUAGUCUUGUAACUUUUUCAAAUUUUUCAAACACAAAAGGUGAUGUUUGACCUCACUAGUUCCACAAGACAAGGUUCCUUGUUUUAAGGAAAAGUGGUUGUCAGGUCUUGAAAAGGUGAUGUUGGCAGGUCUUCUCACAAAUAAUUUUUUAUUUUGUUUUAAAACAUUUUUGGAUUUAUUACUCUUUAUAGAAGUUAAGACAUAGGACGAAGAGAAGUUUAAGAUGAACACAACAUCAACACCUUCAAGAACAUAACAACAUACACCAUAAUGGUUACUCCAAUAUCCUAACACAAGCCAAACUCACGACCACUUCAAGUUUUCACAACAACAAGUCUCUUCUUAUUGAGCUCAACUUUAGAUUUACACACUUUUUUAUGUUGAUGGGGAAGAAACCUACACAAGAAACAAACUAAACAAGUAAAGUAUUUUGUAGAUCUAUAACCAACUCUCGGCCAAGAUGUUCAAGAACACACUUUUGGUAAGAGCUUCCCAAGAUUGGUUUUGUAAGAACAAAACCAAGCCUUGAGUUCUGAUACCAAAUGAUACAAAAUUAAGUGUGUAUCAAGAGAUUUAAGCCAACACAAGGAAAACAAGAUGAUCAAUAAAGUACUAGUGAAUCGAUAAUGGUCACACAUGGCUUCACUAGGCUUCCAAUAUUUGGUUUUGGAACUACAAAAUGAGUUUACCAACAAUAACAACAAAUAACAACAAUUCUAGUGAAUCGAAAAAGCCCCACAUGGCUUCACUAGACUUUUAGAUUCAACAACAUGAUGAUAACAAGAUUACAAGAGAUAGAAACUUGAAAUACAAUAUUUAAUGAUCUAAGACCCCUAACAAUAAGAAAGUACCCUAUGACUAAUGAAUAUAAACACCAAGUUCUUACUUGGACCAAGAGGAACUCGAGAACCCCCAGAUCCUAGUUUCUAUCCUAGAUACAACUCAAGUAUCACACAACUUGUGAGGGACGGUUUGGACUUCUCCAAUGGAAGAGAGAAGUUCUCAAUAUCACAAAUAUAGUUGUUGUCUUCAAUAGUAUGAGUGAACUAAAGAGAAAUAACCCUAUCACAUGUCUUAUAUAUUCUAUUACAAAAGAGAGACAAAAGGAACAAGAUACCUUUGGCAUCAAAGGGUCGGGUUUGGAGUGCUUUGGAGGGCCUCUUCACACUUUAAUAAGUAUAGGCCCUUAGAUGGACUCACAAGGCCCUCACACACGGCCAAUGAUGAGAACAGGGCUUGGAGUAUUUGUAACUCACGUGCUUGGCUUCGUGUGAAAGUUCUCGAGCUAGGAAUACCCGUAUCAAUAGUGGAAUCAAAACCCAAAGAAAAAUAUACAGACACAUAGAAAAAAGUCCACCUGGAUAGUCUUGGACAAAUGUUCAAUUCAUCAUACACAUAGUAACCUCUAUGACCCGACUCUAUAUGAGGAGAUACAGUCGAGCUAGAAUAACCACCCAAAGAUGCUAAAAUAGAAGACCCACUACCUGAGACCUAUAAGGCUGCCUACAGUGGUCUACAGUGAUAUCCACAGAAGCCUCUAGAAUCUAUACCUCGAUAAGUGUGCCCUCUAAAGUUAUACUGAUAAUGCACCCGCUUAGUGCCUCCUUGGAGCCCUCGAAGAACAUACUCAGGCAUCUUAGCAUGAUCUACUAUACUCCAAAAUGAUUCUCUAUGUGCUACCAUCUGAAUCAUAGGUAGCAGAAGUAAAACAUCUAACCCUUUCAUGAUCAUUUGAAUUUGCCUCAUACAGGGCACAAAAGUGCACCUCAUAAUCCGUAAUAGUUAUGAAGCCCUACUGCAAAUGAUCAAACUCAUAUCUGAUCUGAUACCUCAAACCGUAAGGCACAAACCUUUCCAAAAAGGCCUCAACAAACUGAUCCCAAGUAAUCUCUGGAGAAUUAAGAUGUCUUAAACUAAUAAGUGACCUCCACUAAUCUCUAAUUGCAUAUCUCAACUGAUAAGUAGUAUAAGAAAUCCCAUGCGACUCAAGAAAAACAAGGUUAUGCAAUUUCUCAUGAUAGCCAAUCAAGAACUCAUAGGCAUUCUCGCCUACAGCACCACUGAACCUUGGAGAACCUGGACUAGUGAAUCUCUCAAACCUAUUUUAAUCCUCAAAAAAUGUAAUUGCACUCACAAUAAUAAGAGGAAUAUAAAUCUGGUUGUCCUUCCUGAGGAGGUAACAUAAAUGAGGGUUGAACUUCUACUCUCGAAAUACUAUACUCAGAUGUACGCACUGAAGGAGGAACAUCACUCAAAGUCUGUAGAGUACUAUAAACAGAUGUUGGUACUACUGGAAGAUCCAUACUCAAAACCAUAAUAAAAAUAUAGGCAAACUCUAGCAUAGAAGGAGGUCUAAUACUCAAAGCUAGAGGAACACCAAGUGUACUUAAAGAAGUACCCUCCAAAUAGGUCAGCAAACAAAUCAUCAACCCCCUUAAGACUGGGGUAGAAAAACUCCGUCGGACUAGAAUAGGCCCUAUAUCCCUAACAUGUUCAACAUGAGGCUCUGGGAGAAUAUCUUGGUACUACCUAUGGAGAGGAAAAUCCUCAUGUCCCUCCACUAUCUCAAGCCCAUCCACGACUCAUAACUUGCCCUCUAGACUGAGCCCUUUUCUUAGAUGAUAACUUUGCAUCUCUAGCCUCAUGAGAUCUAGUCCUUACCAUCUGCAUAGAAAAGAAUUGAAUACUAUUUAAAGCACAAGGUAUGGAAAUACCAACAUGAUAUAUAAUGAAAUAAGUAAAGUUUCCUAAAGAUACCUUGUAGCCUCUCAAAGAUUGUUACUGAUGUCUACACACAGAUCUACGAGUCUCUACUAGACAUUCUAUUAUUACACUGAUGAGACCAAUGAACCUGACUGCUCUAAUACUAAUUUGCCAUGACCUAAAAACCAAGGGUCAUAAUGACACUUGUUAUGGAAAGCCUUGACAAGUAAGCCAACCACCCAAAUUGAUAUGAAAAGAGAAAUCAAUACCAAAACCCAACGCAAGACUCCUAGAAUGGAGUCGAACCACACAUACAUGAUAUUAGCGACAAUACAAAACUGAUAAUACCAUAUAAUAUCCCAAAACCUGGUGCCAUAGUGUAAGAACUACUAAAUACACCUCGAAUGUCAAAGAUAUAAUAAUGGCCUAAAGGGAUAGUAAUCUAUCUACAAAUACAAAACAAGACAUAAAAUAAAUAAGAAGAGGUAGUGGAUCAAAUCUGAAAGCAUAGAUCAUCUGCUACCUCAAGUACACUCCAAAUACUACCUAAAUCAGCUACUAUACGAUGUACUCGUACCAAGAUCUAUACGGAAAGGGCAUUGUAGGGGUGAGUACAGUCCACUUGUACUCAGUAGGUAUCUUAGGUGACUGAGCAAAGUAAAAAAUAAAGCAUAUAAUAUACACACUAUGGGCACAUCACCUGCAAUCAAAAAAUAUCCCAAAUGGUAGCCCACGCCAUCUCCCCUAAUAUUUAUACUAUAUACACAUAUAAUAUACAAAAAUACAAGAAAGAAGCAUAAAUAUAAAAGUAUACCAAAUACAAGUGUAGGUAAAGAAGUACCAAUAGAUAGAUAUCACAUCAAGGACAGUAAUACAACCAAGAAUAAGCGCAAUAUGUAUGAAAUACAAUGAAGUUGAUAAUGAUGAUGUGAUGCUCGAGGUUGUCAAAUAACCUCAGUAUACACCUACCAAGUUGUGCUUCCAAGUAGGACCCAUGGGGGGUUCGUAACUCAUAUAUAAUAUAAUAUAUAAUACCGAUAUAAAUGACUCCUCUCCAGUACAACCCUUGAUAGAGGAUCUAUAAAGAUGUCACAAGCCAGUAUUUCUAGCAUUUUCACAGUGGUACCAAUGUUUCAAAAGUGUAUAUAAUAUGAGGGUACAAUGCUUACAACCAACCAGAAUGAGAAUUUUCAAAGCCAACCAAUAUACCAACUAUGUGAGCUGAAAUCAGCUCAAUAUUCAAAAAAUCUAUGAAUCUCAUGUAAUUAUAUGGUAAUAUAGAAAAAUACACAAUAAUAUUCCAUUGAUAACGCAUAAAUUCAAAUUUAGGCUUUCCAACAGAUAAAUACCACCGGAAAUACAUACAUAAGGUCAACAACAUCAUAAAAGGCCCCACAUGAUCACACAUGAUAUAUAACGCCUCAAACUAGAAAAUAAAAAUAAUAUUGGCCCCAAUACGUGCACAACAUAAUAUUAAUAGCCAUUUCUAUGAUUGGUUACCACACUCGUAACAUGAUUUUUAUAUCAAUGCUAACUACCCAGCCCAGUCUGAAGCAGUUAAUUCAUAACCUACCUCAAAUGUUGAAACUGGUAUGAACAAGCCUUUAACAUUGAUCUUUUACCUCAUGCAGGGACUCAAAACCAACUAAGAUACACAAUUAUAGAAUCUACGUGUUAAAAAGAAGUUAAUGAUACCUAUAUUGCCCAUUUCUAGGUUAGGUUAAAAAUGGAUCCCUGAAAUGGGUAAAACCAAAUUGUUUUAUCCAAAAUAAUAUUUUCCAUGAUUAAAGAAACUCAUAUAAUAUAAUUCAAGUGAAAAUGGGUGGAAAUUAGGGUUUAUAUCAAGAAAAUACCAAUUUACUCCUCUGGGUCAAAAUUUCCAAAUUCCACUUACAAAUUCAAGUUUUAACUAUAUUUAAAUAAUAAUAAUUGAAGAAAUAUAAUACAAAUAGGGUAUGAACUUCACCAAAGAUUGAGAAUGAAAUAAAUCGCCCAAAACCUUAAAACCCUAAGCUCCAAAUCUCAAAAAUGGUGAAAGAAAUUGAGAAAAAGAAUAUAUUUAUGGGCACUAGCUUCCACUAAGGCAGUCAAAUAAUCAUUUUAGUGGUCACCACAAAAGCGGUCAAGUACCGCUCUAUUGGUCACCACUAAAAUGGUCAAGUACUUCUUUAGUGAUACUCGCCAAUGUGUGCUAGUCCGCUAAAGUGGACAAAGGCCACUUUAGCGCCUAUUGCUAAAGCGGAUGGGCACCACUAAAGCUCCUUUGUCCAGCUGGAGCAACCGCUAAAAUAGCCAAGUGGUUCUUUCGCACCUACCGCUAAAUAUGGCACUUUAGUGGCUACACCAGCUGAGUGGUCCACCAAUGGUGAAGACUUCCAAGUCUCCGCAGACUCCUCGAGAUUCAUUCGAGAUCCCUAGUACACAACGAACUCUACUACCCUAUCAAAUUUGAUUCUCCAAAAUCAAUAGUGAUAUCAGAUUUUUAAAAAAUCAUUGUUUUCACAAAGUUGACCCCUGAAAUCCAAUUUCACAACUUUCCAAAUCGAGGAUCGAAAUAAGAUAUAAAAAUUGUAAAACCACACCAACCAUUUUACCAACCUAAAAUCAAUAUUCCAAAUCUGCUAGUAUAAUCCAUUUUGAUAUCCUAUGUACAGAUCAAUAAAUAUUUACCAAACUAUAAAGCCUUUUCUUAACUAGUAAAACCAAAAACUCGCACAAAUCACACCAAAAUGCAUUGGAAAUUAUGUCAAUCAUCCCCACACCCUAUAAAUACCACAAAACAACUAUGGGAAAGGUUAAAAUGGUAAAAUCAUAUAAAAAUAAACUAUUAACAUAAAUUACCAAAAAUUAGGUCGUUAUACCUAAACUAUAUUGAUAUAUAUUUAAUUAAACAUUCUAUAUCUUCAUUAAAAAGGGAUGAAUCAAAGGUUUCACAACUUAAUUCCACAUCCUAAAGUGAUAGUUGUAUAUCAUACUAAAAGAUAAUGAGGCCAAAAUUUUCCUAGAAUAGGUUCUUAAACAAAUAACUAAGGCAUGCGAUAUUUCAAACGAUAUCCAAAUAGAAACUACCUGCUCAAAACUAGCAUAAUAGAACACAAUUAUCAUAAAUAAGCUCAAUCUAAAGAUAGAGUAAGCCUAGCCUACCUGGACACCAAAGAUAAUAGCCCCUCCGAGAAGACUUUGAAUUGAAUAAUAAGAUGUAGAUAAAUGGUUCAAUUUGGAGAUCAAAUAAAUAUCCAAAAUAUCUACAACCACUAAACUCCUCUUAAUGCAUGUAUUUGAAUAUAUUUGAAGUUGCUUGCUGAUAAUAUACUACACCAACUUUAAAUGUAACUUUUGAGCAGAAAGGAAAGAAUAAUAGUUUAUAUAUAGAGUGAUAUUCAUAAGUUGCAUUAUGUCAACUAAAAGUAAGCUCAAAUAUUAUAUUGUGGAAAUGGUGCAAUCCAAUAAGAGAAUGGGAUGUCAUUUUGUGUUUAUUAUAAUUUGUAUCAUGAGAAUUGAGUUCAUUAACUCUAGUAGCUGCAAGGAAGAACUACACAUUUUGGUAAGUGGCUAUAUGACCAAAAAUAAAUCUUUGGAAUUGAAAUUCUUAAGGAAAACAAAGGGGUAGAUUUUAGCGGCCUAAAAGUCAACUCACUUCCAUGUAUUAGGUGAGUAAAUGAUGUUAGGCCACCUAUUAAUAUGUUGCUAUCCAUUUUUCAACCCCGCGUAUAGUGGUGGUGGCCACAGCUGAAAAUUUUUCAACAUUGCAUAUGUAUUCGAGAAUUGUAUCGGUUCGUGGUAAAAUAAACAUAACUUUUAAAAUAUAUCAUAAUCAGUAGAAAAAUAUUUCUAAUAAAAUUUCUAUUAUAUAAUAAAGAUUCACUAUCUCCUAUAAAAGCUAUUACAACAACAACAUACCAGUGUAAUCCCAUAAAGUGGGAUCUGGGGAGGGUAAAGUACAUGUAAACCAUACUACUACCUCAAAUCAAAUGAAGUAGAGAGUCCAUUUUCUAUAGACCCUUGGAUUAGGAAAUAUAACAGUAUAACGAACAAAAAUAUAAAAGCACACAACCAGAUGGGAUAAGACGCUUCUAGAUACCAAAGGAAAUAAGACAUUCAUAAGGUACUGCUAUAUACUAUCUAUCCAAGAACAUAGACAUCACUGAAACACCCUGAACAAAAAACUCCACACACAGAUACAAACAAAGAAUUCUUCUCAACAGCAACGACUGAACUCCUACCCAUUAACCCUCUACCCUAAUUAGAGUCCUCCACAUCUUCUUAAUAAGGGUCAUGUUCUCUGUAAGCUAUAAUCGCUCUAUAUCAUGACUAAUCCCCUUCCUUCAAUACUUUUUUGGCCUACCUCUACCUCAUCUAAAACUAUAAAUAGCCCGUCUCUUACACCUCUAUACUGGAGCAUUCGAGUACCUCCUCAUCACAUGUCCAGACCAAUAUAAACUCACUUUUUGCAUCUUGUUCUCCAUUAAAGCCACCUCUACCUUUUCUUGAAUAAUCUCAUUUCUAACCAUAUAUCUCCAGGUAAGGCCACACAUCCAUUGAAACAUCUUUAUCUCUACUAGCUUCAACUUUUAAAUGUGGGAUUUCUUAACUGGAAAACACUCCACUCCAUACAACAUGUCUAGUUGGACUACUACUCUAUACAAUGUACCUUUAAGCUUUAGAGGUACCUUCUAAUGACACAAAACUCCCAAAGAGAGCCUCCAUUUCAAUCACCCUAUACAAGUACAGUGUGUGACAUCCUCUUCAAUCUUACCUUUCCCCUGAAUUAUAGACCCAAGAUAAUUGAAACUCUCCCUCUUCUGAAUGGCCUGAGACUCUAGCUUCACUACCAUGUCAGCGUAAUAUGAAAAAUCACUAAAAUUACAUUUCAAAUACUUCAUCUUGGUCCUGCUCAAUAGAUUCAAGGUCUGUCUCCAAAUCUACAACUUACCAUUAACUCUUCCCCGAGUCUCGCUAAUUAGUACAACAUCAUCAGUAAAUAACAUACAACAAAGAUAGUAUUUAUAAUUUAUGUUCUUUCAAUUUCAAAAAGAAUGGCAUUAUUAUUAGUAAUGAAAAGCAUAUAUACUAUGAAUAAAAAUCAUUUAUGGUGGAAUGAAAUGGUUGAGUAAUUGAAAAAUAAGAUCAUUGAAGAAUGUUUAUAUUACUCAUGCCAACCAAUUAGAGCGUUGAUUACAUAAUAUAAAGCCCAAAAUUAGGAAAUAUAAUAACAUUUAUGGUGUAUGGUUCCACCGUUGACACCAUGUAAAUAAAAUGGACCAUGCUACCGGUGGUGAAGCUCAUAUUUUCACUAAGGGUCUUCAAAAUAUGAAAUCAACACACAAAGAAGCUGAAGGGGGAUCAACAUCUACCAUAUUUACAUAAAAAUAAUUUAACCGUGUAUAAACAGAGUAAUUUUUCUCUAUGGGGGUUUGGAUGAACCCUCUCUACCCUACCUGGCUCCGCCCUUGGUACUAACUCAUCUCAAAAGUUAGCUCAUAUGGUGAGGAUUGUCUAAUACCAAGACUAGGAUCUUAAACUUCUUUAAUACCAUGUUAAAGUAUGUGUACAUCUUAUCUAAAAGCUUGAAAAUUUAGAGAUAGCAUAUUAUAACUUACUAGAAAUAUCUUCUAAUUACAUUGGUAUGGAAGUCAUCUUUAUUGUUGCACUUCUUACGAAUAUGUUACAAUAUGUCAUUUAAAAGAUACAAUUCUUACAAAAAAUUGAUCACCUUUAAUAGAACAUUUGACCUAUAUUUUUUGAGUUAAAAGGUUCCAAUCAUCUAGUAAAAAAGGAAUAUUUUCAUAGUCGGAAACUGAAAGAAAAUAAGCCCAUUGCUUCGUGGCACACACCUCUAUAUAUUUACAGUGUCUGUACUUAUAAUUACUAGUUAUCUAAGUAUAGUCUCAAAGAAGUAGAAAUAUUCCUCUUGUUAGUUUUACUUAUUAAUUUUAGCUUUUUUUGUUCUUCACGAGAGCUCUUUAGGGGACGGAUCUCAUCUUUUGAUUAUGGUAAAAUGGAACACAAUAAUAAUUAGUAUACUGAACUUUAAUUAAAUAAGUAGAUUUGUUUUCAAAAGUUAUUUUAUUCAAAUUAUCCUCAAAUUCCAUCUAAAUUAGAAUCGCCAACAUUUCAUCUUUCCUCACACUAAACCUCAAAUUUAGAAAAGAUUAGAGCCAAGUGUUUCUUUUGUUAUAUCCUUGUAUGGUUUUGGGAAGACCUCAUAUCAUGAGAUAGAUUUUAGGACUGAGUUAGGUGCAAGGUCCAUUUCUUAUAAUUAGUUCAAACUUAUAUUUUGUUGUCUAUACUUUAGAUAUGAUGUGUUUGGAAUGUCGUAUUAGUUAAUCCUCACUUCACAACCUAAUUUUUUAGGUUGAGUUAGACCCAAGGACCAUUUCUAUCAAAUAAUAAAUAAAUUUCAUCCUACAUCUUAGUCAAAGUUUGUCUUGUUUUGAUGGUCAGGAAGCCCAAUAUGACUAUUGUUUUUGGAUGGAUAGAGAAGGUUAUGGUAAGGAGAUCUAGUAAUGAAUGUUAUUUUGCUCAAAUAUUUAUGAGGAUAUGGUUUGUCUUUAUUUUCUUGCUUUCAUUAAUUUGUGUCAUUGUGAGUUUUCAUCUCUAAUUUUGUUCAAUAGAAUUGAUGGAAGAACAGAAUCAUUUGAAAAGUAGAGACUUGUUGAAUUUAUUAACAAUCGAUAGAAUCGAAUAUUAAAUAUGCUUUGAUAUCUACUAGAGUUGGAUCUCUUGGUAUCAACCUUUAUGCUGCCAACUGUGUAAUUAUAGUUGAUGGCUCUUGGAAUCCAACUCAUGAUCUUCAAGCUAUAUAUCGAUCUUGGAGGUGUAUCAUUCAAAUUGUUUAAUUUUAUAACAACCAGGUACUAUUAGAGUAUUUAUUUAACUUUAAUGUGAAAUUCAAGAGGGGCUAGAUUGAAAAACUUUCUUGAGUUGAUUGCUCAGCCUUGUCAAUCAACACACCUGCAGAUUAGUGUUUUUGGAUAAAAUAAAAUAAAACAAAUAAGAAAGUAUUCAAAUAAGUAAAUAAUUAAAUAACAUAGUGAUUUAUCCUAGUUUGGAACACCUGUGUGGUGCCUACUUGCAGUCCCCUUGGGAUUCAAAGGUUUCCAUUAAAGCUUUCAAAUCGUGAUUCAAAGUACAGACGUGAUAAAAAAAUUCUAAAUCUUACUUUGUUAUUCAAAUUUGGUGACACAACCUCAAACGGUAUAAGUAAAUUGACUUGAUCUUUCUCUUUUGUAACUAUUGUAAACUUGAAAUUACAAAGCUUUAUGAAUACUAAAGAUUGAGACACACUAAGAGUUUCCUAUGAAGAUACGUGAUUUCUCAGGUCUUCAGUCUUCUCUUUCUAUAUUCUUCAGCUGGUUCUUUUACUUUUUUCCAAAAAAAAAAAACCAAGGGAUUUCUUCUCAAUCAAAGAUUUGAUUUAAUUAAUUGAUUGAGGAUUCUCAUCAUAUAGUACUUUUAUAUCAGAUAUGUUUGUUCAUAAGAUGUGGCCUACCUUUUUUGGAUAUUAUUUCACAACCAUUCAUCUGCAUAUUAGAUAUGUCCAUGAAGAGGGUGUGAUCUUCUUUCUUGAUGCUCUGAUAUUUGCCAAUUAUCUUCCUUGUAAUUUGGGAUCUAAUGAGAUUUUUCUUGAUGCCAUUCAAAAUCUAGCUUUGACUUCCUUGUAAUCAGGGAUUGCAUGGGAUACUCCUCCAGAUAUAGCACCAUGAUCAUUUUUCUUGCCUUGAUUACCCUUUUGGUAUAUCUUGCAUGUUAUCAACCAUUAAUUUGUCAUUAGUUAAAUAUAUUAUGUCAAUAUGGGAAGCUAACAAUCUUCCUCUUUUUUAAUGAUAAAUAUUAAACAUCAGUCGACUUUCCUAUCAUUGUAGUGGACUGGCUUCCCCUAUCUUUCUAACUCCGUGCCUUUUG
rnacentral:lncRNA from 1 species